rnacentral:rRNA from 1 species
CACGUAGGGCGCAAGCGUUGUCCGGAAUUAUUGGGCGUAAAGAGCUCGUAGGCGGUCUGUUGCGUCCGCUGUGAAAACCCGGGGCUUAACCCCUGGCUUGCAGUGGAUACGGACAGACUAGAGGUAGGUAGGGGAGAAUGGAAUUCCCGGUGUAGCGGUGAAAUGCGCAGAUAUUGGGAGGAACACCGGUGGCGAAGGCGGUUCUCUGGGCCUUACCUGACGCUGAGGAGCGAAAGCGUGGGGAGCGAACAGG